rnacentral:rRNA from 1 species
CUUAGGUCGACCCGCUGAAUUUAAGCAUAUCAAUAAGCGGAGGAGAAGAAACUAACUAGGAUUCCCUCAGUAACGGCGAGUGAAGAGGGAAGAGCCCAGCACCGAAGCCUGCGGCAGAUUUGCUGUUAGGCAAUGUGGUGUGUGGGUCGGCUAGUGGGAUCGUCACUCCACUCGAAGUCCAGCAUUGAGUAUGGUUAUCACUGGAUUUGGCCCAUAGAGGGUGAGAGGCCCGUACGAGUGGGGUUUCAGACAUGUGAGACGAUUCACCAGGUCGACCUCAGAGUCGGGUUGUUUGAGAUUGCAGCCCAAAGUGGGUGGUAAACUCCAUCCAAGGCUAAAUACUGGCACGAGUCCGAUAGCGAACAAGUACCGUGAGGGAAAGUUGAAAAGUACUCUGAAGAGAGAGUAAACAGUACGUGAAACCGCAUGCAGGUAAACGGGUGGCGUCAAGCUGCGAGCCCGGAGAAUUCAGCUGGCCAGAUUGUAGUGUGCGCGCCUGUGGCGUCGAAGGGCCAGAGUAAGACGUAGUAGUCCACUUCUCGCGUAGGAGUGGGGCGUGGCCAUGACCUUAGUUGUGGCCGUUGCUAUGCGUGCCGAGUUGUGUGUUGGAGCGUGCUACUCGUCUGUGGGGCCGUCUGGUCAGUGCACUUUCUCCGUGGUGAACACCACGACCGGUGGUAUUGCCAGUCUACUGUGGUCAAGUCGUGUCUCUCUGGUGGCCUUGUUGCUCCUCUUGAGGGGGGCAAUGAUGGCUAUUUGGGGGACGCGAUCGCAGAUGGGAGGGGUGUACGGCGUAGCGGUGUCUCGACGCUGUUGCGUGUUAUCGUGCAUUCACCAUCAACGAGGUGUGGGAGUGUAGAUGCGUGUGCGUUGGGCUGUGGUCGCGCUCCUAUGCUUCUCGGCGGGCCAUCGUGGUGAAAGUGACUGUGCAAGGCACCGUGUUUAACCGCCUCAGCUGAUUGGUCGGGCUUCUGGCUUGGUUGAUUGGCUCGUGGUAUCUGGCACGCACACCACAGGUGCAAGAUAGGGGGCGCGUCUCUGUCCGUGCGCGUUGGGCUUGGCUAGCGUGUUGCUCACGCAAAGUGGGUCCGCUAGUGGUCUAGCGUGUUAUUAACACAAUGGGCAGAGUUGCGUGUCACCGGGUGCCACUUUUGCUAUGGAUACCGGGGGCGUUAUAGUCAGUGGUGCUGUGGUAGACGAGCUACCCGACCCGUCUUGAAACACGGACCAAGGAGUUUAACAUGCGUGCGAGUCAGAGGGUCCUACGAAACCCCAAGGCGCAGUGAAAGUGAAGUCCGUGUUGCGCACCUAGGCACACUUGCGCGGUGCGUCGCGGCGAGGUGAGAUCCUGCUGUUAACCUACUCAUCGUCAGUGUAACCUGGCCAAUUAGGAGCAGUGGGCGCAUCACCGGCCCGUCCCACGAUGUGGACAUUGGCAAUGGCGUGGUUGUGUGCGUGUAAGCGUGCAUUGCUGCGUCGGCUAGUGCGCCAUCGGGGCGGAGCAUGAGCACGCAUGUUGAGACCCGAAAGAUGGUGAACUAUGCUUGCGUAGGUUGAAGCCAGAGGAAACUCUGGUGGAGGACCGUAGCGAUUCUGACGUGCAAAUCGAUCGUCAAACGCGAGUAUAGGGGCGAAAGACUAAUCGAACCAUCUAGUAGCUGGUUCCCUCCGAAGUUUCCCUCAGGAUAGCUGGCACCCAUUGGCAUAAUCAGUUUUAUCCGGUAAAGCGAAUGAUUAGAGGUCCUGGGUUCGAAACGGACUCAACCUAUUCUCAAACUUUAAAUGGGUGAGAUGCUCGACUCGCCUCAUGUGCGUGUGUGUGAUGCAGUUUAACUGGUCGUGUGCGUUCGCGUAUGCGAUUGGUGGCUGUAUGUGGUAGGAGUCGGGCGUUGAAUGUGCGGGUGCCAAGUGGGCCAUUUUUGGUAAGCAGAACUGGCGCUGUGGGAUGAACCAAACGCUUGGUUAAGGUGCCUAACGCUGACGCUCAUGAGAUACCACAAAAGGUGUUGGUUAAUAUAGACAGCAGGACGGUGGCCAUGGAAGUCGGCAUCCGCUAAGGAGUGUGUAACAACUCACCUGCCGAAUUGACCAGCCCUGAAAAUGGAUGGCGCUGGAGCGUCGGACCUAUACCAGGCCGUCAUCGUAAGCUGGAUCUACUGACGCAUGAUGCAUGUGUGAGUGGGUGUGCGGUAUGCAGACGUGUCAUGAUCCAGGCAUGUAGCGCGGUGGCGAGUAGGAGGGUCGCCGUGGUGAGCGUGGAAGCCUCGAGCGUGAGCUUAGGUGGAGCCGCCACGGGUGCAGUCUUGGUGGUAGUAGCAAAUAUCAA